rfam:Streptomycetaceae bacterium MP113-05 genomic scaffold scaffold00070, whole genome shotgun sequence.
CUGCCGGUGGAAGUCCGGUCCGGGUAGCUGCCAGGAGGCCCGGUAGCAGGCUGGCGGCGUCGGAGGGAAACGUCCGGCGUCGAAGCCCAGCGUCAAUGGCCCUGUAAUAGGGGGAGCGACGAUACGGUCCGUAGCAUCA